UCGACUAACGUAUCGGUCAUUUAAUAUUGAAUAGAAAAAAAAUGAAAUUUUUCAUAGUCGGAUUUUUGAUAGCAGCUGUAGUGAUAGUCGAAUGUUCCCAUACAUUUAUGGGCACGAGCGUACAAGGGGAGUUAGUUUACCAACGUACAGUCAAAUACAGUUCGAAAAUGUUUCAAAAAAGAAUCGAAACGUUGAACGUCACAAUACCAUAUAAUAAACUAUACGGACGUUAUAUUCAGGGCGUGCUAGCUUACGAUUUAACCAAGUCAGGAGCCUCGGCCAACGUCACAGCGGGAGGAGUCGGAUUUACAUUCGUCAACCUUCGCAUGAAGAGCGAUAAAGGGGAAGAUCUUAAAUAUGAUAUUUCCAUUUAUGCAUAAAUUUAUAAAUGUUUCAAAAAGUGUUUUAAUUAAGUGUAUUGCAAAUUACGAAGCUAUAAUAAAGAAGUAAGUGAUUAAUCUUACUAAUGUUUGGAUGCAUAGAUUAAGGGAUCUCGCUGAAAUUUGACAUAGAUGUA